UGCUAAACCUGCACCCCCAUCAUCCUUUUGUCUUCCUCUAAUUUUUUAAACUAUGUGUUGGGAUAAAUAUUUUGAAAUGUUUGUUAAAGUUACAAUUGUUAUGUGUUAAUUGAUUUUCAUUGUCGGGUUUUACCUUUGGUUGGUUUGGUAUUGUUGGUAUGGAUCAUUACCUACUCGUUUAUUUUUUCCAAUACUGCAGCUUCUGAAUCACAUGAGAAAG
rnacentral:misc_RNA from 1 species